CACUGUGGGGCACCGCAUGAGUGAGCGGCUUCUGCCAGGCUCGUUGGAGGGACGUGCGCGGCACGUUCCGUGGAAAGAUGAGCACACAGUGCCUGCCAAGCCCUGACCGGGUACAGAGAAGGUUGGUGGGAGGAUUAAGGCACCAGGCGUAGCACACCCCAGUGCUCACGAACUGCGACCUGA